UACGAAGGGGGCGAGCGUUGCUCGGAAUCACUGGGCGUAAAGCGCACGUAGGCGGAUUGUUAAGUCAGGGGUGAAAUCCCGGGGCUCAACCUCGGAACUGCCUUUGAUACUGCAAAUCUCGAGUCCGGAAGAGGUGAGUGGAAUUCCUAGUGUAGAGGUGAAAUUCGUAGAUAUUAGGAAGAACACCAGUGGCGAAGGCGGCUCACUGGUCCGGUACUGACGCUGAGGUGCGAAAGCGUGGGGAGCAAACAGG
rnacentral:rRNA from 1 species